rnacentral:rRNA from 1 species
GAAGAACCUUACCUGGGUUUGACAUCCUGUGAAUGUUUAAGAGAUUAGACAGUGCCUUCGGGAGCACAGAGACAGGUGCUGCAUGGCUGUCGUCAGCUCGUGUCGUGAGAUGUUUGGUUAAGUUCAGCAACGAGCGCAACCCUUAUCGUUAGUUGCCAGCACAUAAUGGUGGGAACUCUAGCGAGACUGCCCCGGUUAACGGGGAGGAAGGUGGGGAUGACGUCAAGUCCUCAUGGCCCUUAUGUCCAGGGCUACACACGUGCUACAAUGGUAAGUACAGAGGGUAGCAAGCCGGCAACGGUUAGCAAAUCCCAAAAGCUUAUCUCAGUCCGGAUUGGAGUCUGCAACUCGACUCCAUGAAGUUGGAAUCGCUAGUAAUCGCGGAUCAGCAUGCCGCGGUGAAUAUGUUCCCGGGCCUUGUACACACCGCCCGUCACACCAUGAGAGUUGAUUAUACCCGACGUCGUUGGGCCAACCUAUUUAUAGGAGGCAGGCGCCUAGGUAUGGUUGAUAAUUGGGGUGAAGUCGUAACAAGGUAACC